UACAGAGGUCUCAAGCGUUGUUCGGAUUCAUUGGGCGUAAAGGGCGCGUAGGUGGCCCGGUCAGUUCGUGGUGAAAGCGCGGGGCUCAACCCUGCGUCGGCCAUGAAUACUGCCGCGGCUGGAGCACUGUAGAGGCAGGCGGAAUUCCGGGUGUAGCGGUGGAAUGCGUAGAGAUCCGGAAGAACACCGGUGGCGAAGGCG
rnacentral:rRNA from 1 species